AUGUACAUGCAUACAACGUUAAUGCACUAGAUCCCAUUAGAAAUUCAUAGUUAAGCAUGUUUGGGCUAAAGUAGUAUUGGGAUGGGUGACCUCCAAGGAAGUCCUAGCAUUUUACGUG
rfam:Picea glauca, whole genome shotgun sequence.